GUUCUUUGAUUUUUCUUUUUGUAGGUUAUGUAAAAUAAUAAAAUAAAAUUAUCAUCCGACUCACUGUGAAAAAGAAAGGAUUGGAGUUCAAUGUGGUAUCUGGAUUAUGGAUUGUCUCUUGUGUUCGGGGCACUAACUAAUUUUCUGGAUUGUCUACAGGAUUUUUCUUACGGGAAAUUGAACUGUUUGUUCUUCGGAAAUAGGGUCUUGGAUGAUCUUGAAGAAGUAUCAGUAGUACUCGGAAUAGGUUGUAGGAUGAUUCACUUUUUAUUUUAAUAUCACAUACAUUGGAGUACACGCCAAAUUUCAACAAUGAGUAAAGUUAGAAAAAUUCAAAUUUAAAUCAAGGAUUUCUUCCUCAAAAUAACGUUAAAACCUCAAAAGAUGGAUGAAAAAUGUGCUUUAGGAGCUGAAUUAUAAAUAAUUGAUACAUUUGGAAGUAAACAAAACGGUUUAAGAUAAGAUUUUCACCAACAAAAAAUCUCUCUGUCACAAAUUCUAGGUUAUGUUCUCUCGGUGAACUAAGAGAAUGUUAAAAUUAUUACAAUACUUUUAUUGAUGUAAAAGUGGAACUAACAGUAGACCUAGAACUAGAAACAUUCUGGUUUAGCCAUAUGUCUCUUAAGACGGUUAAUCGGAUUUUAACUGUUAACGGAUUUUGUACUGAUCCUGGCUCUACAAAGGUGGUUUGUCAGAAAGGAAACCCGCCAAGAGAGUUACAGGAGGCAGUGGUCUUACCACAACCACAGUUUUAGCAUGUGUCAACGCUGCUGGUGAAUAUUUGCCUCCUGCAAUAAUACAUCAAGGUAAAAGAAUGUGGGACAGCAUGCUUGGAGGUGAAGAAUGUUUCUAGUUCUAGGUCUAGUGUUAGUUCUAAUGUUAGAGUUAGUUCUAAUUUUAGUUGUUAUUCAACGCUACGAGGUUUUACUGUACUAAUUUUAUUCUAAAUACGUUAAAUUAAAUGGUACGGUUAAUAGUACUACUCAAACGAAUAAAUAUUAAACAAGAAUGUAUAUA